rnacentral:tRNA from 1 species
GCUCCCAUCGUUCAGCCCGGUCAAGGACGCUGGCCUUUCAAGCCGGUAACACGGGUUCAAAUCCCGUUGGGAGCA